rnacentral:lncRNA from 1 species
AAAAUGUUUCAUUCUCAAUACGAACAAAAUUUAUCAACAAAGAACAAUACACAACCAUUUUGACUACAGCAUACUCAGUCGGUUUCGAAGUGCGCCUCUUUGCGCGUUCCGGCAGAACGCCAAACGGUGCCGAAAUUUUUUCCGACGACAAUCGCUCCCGAUGCAGCAACUCAACUUUUGUGGCGUGCAACGUAGGACCAGGUCUACAAAAUACACACACUGCAGUCCAUCGGAUUGAGAUCUGGCGAGUAGGGCGGCCGAGUGUCGCGACCAAGGAGGCCUUUACAUCUUUCAAGCCGUACGUGCUUGUUGUCGUCGAUGAGAAGCUAAACUUUUGGGAGGUUGUAGGGCUUGAGGCGAUUUUCCUCAUGGAGACCCUCGGAUCUUGCUUGACACAAUCUUUGUAGGAGCUCCCGGUUCUUGGCGGUUCUGACGGUGCGCUUUCUGCCACUUUCUGGACCACAACCAGUAUGGCCGAGCUCUUCAAACCUCUUGAUGGUUCGUCGGACGUUAGAUUUUUCGAUGCCGAGCAUUCGCAAUAACAAUCGGACGCUUUUUCCACUUAUGUAACGCAAACAUUUUUUCUCGUUGGCUUUACAUCAAUAAAGUAGCUUAAAAGUGUUAAUUAAAAUUGAAACAGGACAUAUAUGUAGUAUGUUUUAACGAAGAAUCGAGUAAUGAAUUUGUAAUUUUUUUUAUUGUCACCCGGUAUUAAAAACAAAAUCUAAAGCAAACAAUAACCUAUUUGAA